rnacentral:rRNA from 1 species
UCGGGAAUCUUGGGCAAUGGGCGAAAGCCUGACCCAGCGACGCCGCGUGAGGGAUGAAGGCCUUCGGGUCGUAAACCUCUGUCGGGAGGGAAGAACGUUGGCGAGGUGAAUAAUCUCGCUGAUUGACGGUACCUCCAAAGGAAGCGCCGGCUAACUCCGUGCCAGCAGCCGCGGUAAUACGGAGGGCGCAAGCGUUGUUCGGAAUCACUGGGCGUAAAGCGCGUGUAGGCGGCCGGGCAAGUCGGAUGUGAAAUCCCGAGGCUCAACCUCGGAACUGCAUUCGAAACUGCUCGGCUCGAGUCCCGGAGAGGAUGGCGGAAUUCCCGGUGUAGGGGUGAAAUCCGUAGAUAUCGGGAGGAACACCAGUGGCGAAGGCGGCCAUCUGGACGGUGACUGACGCUGAGACGCGAAAGCGUGGGGAGCAAACAGG